rnacentral:lncRNA from 13 species
AUGCGGCCUCCAGACAUCCACUGUAGAGACCUGCCUACAGGGGGCAGAAGCAGUGUGUGAGAAAGAUGCUCAAGUCUGGAGCCAGCCCCAGCAUCAAGAAUGAGCAACCAAACCGUUUUUGACCUGGCCUGCAGUGAGGAGAUUAAGCAGAUUCUGGUGGGCAGUCAUGACAAGAGAUGCUUGGAUGCCCUGGAGGAGCAUGUGGCCAACAGCAGCUGUCACUACCCAGAAGCAGACAGAUGAGGAGGGGGAUGAAGAUAGAUCUUGGCGACCUCACAGACUCCCUCCAGGUCAGAUGAAGUCAACACCAGCGGAUCCCAAAUAUUUCCGUUCUGGAGACCACCAAAUCACUAUCAAAAGCUCUUGAUCUAAAAUAAAUAAACACUAAAACAUUUUGCAGACCAUCUGCACAGCGGACCACAGGUUGAAACCACUAGUCUACACGCACACACCCAGACCGGAACUCAAACCAACACAGAUUCCAACUUCUUCAGGGCUAGCCAAUCACAGAGUUCCAUUGUUACCUUAUUUUUAAUAUUCUACUCCAGAAAAGUGACAGUUGGUUUCAGUUAGCCCUGCUUGUGUGAACACAAGCUAAGCUAGCCCAGGCCCAUUCAGUCGUAUUGAUGCUUACACAAUUGUUUACAAGUGGGCUGUGUUCUUAUUGGCUCAUGCAUUCAUGGUGAAUGGGUUAUAGAAGCCCCUCCCCCUGCUGUGACUGGCCAGUAGCUGUGUGACAAGGGAGGGUUAGUAAACUGAGGGGCUGUGUAUGUGUAGAAGGGAGGGUUUGUUUGUGUGUGUGCGCACCUGUCCUCGCGGCCGUGCCCUUGGGACAUCAGUAGAACAGAGUGGUAAUCACUAGCGAGCCUGUAGCAAGGACACAGCCGAGCAAGAUCCGCUUUUAUGCUGAGCUCUGCACUCUGCUUGCAGAUCAGUGCAGGCACACACACUCACACACGCUCUUGCUUAAGGGAAACGCUAGGCAUUUGGAGACGGAACUGUUGCACGUGCAUAUUAACACUCAAGCAGAGACACAUGCUUUCACACUCGCACGCACGUACGCACGUUCACAGAGGCGGGCACAAUUCUACCACCCAGCAGAGCAUCCCGAGGACAGGAGGAGGAAAAGUGACAGCAGCACCCUCUAUCCACUCAGAUUCUGAGAACAAGCAUUCUCUCUCUCUGAACGGCUUCCUGUUUGUGGUCAGACACUCGAUUGAAGAGGAGGAAGAGGAAGAGGGGAGAGAGCCCCCUCUGUUCAGCAGCAGCCUCCAUUGCCGUACCACCCUCAGGGAACGGCCACCGCCAGCGGAAUGUCCGGGGAGGGUAACCAUGGUAACCAGAAGGCCCAGUGCAAUGGAGUAAAGAAGCACAGGUAGGAUCACGCUCUACUUAAUGUGAUGUAACGGCUUGUUUCCCACGUGGUUUCCAGCUUGGUUUUCUUGUCACCUUUCUUCUCCAGUGUGU